rnacentral:rRNA from 1 species
GUAGGCGGUUUGUCGCGUCUGCUGUGAAAGCCCGGGGCUUAACCCCGGGUGUGCAGUGGGUACGGGCAGACUAGAGUGCAGUAGGGGAGACUGGAAUUCCUGGUGUAGCGGUGGAAUGCGCAGAUAUCAGGAGGAACACCGAUGGCGAAGGCAGGUCUCUGGGCUGUUACUGACGCUGAGGAGCGAAAGCAUGGGGAGCGAACAGGAUUAGAUACCCUGGUAGUCCAUGCCGUAAACGUUGGGCACUGGGUGUGGGGGACAUUCCACGUUUUCCGCGCCGUAGCUAACGCAUUAAGUGCCCCGCCUGGGGAGUACGGCCGCAAGGCUAAAACUCAAAGGAAUUGACGGGGGCCCGCACAAGCGGCGGAGCAUGCGGAUUAAUUCGAUGCAACGCGAAGAACCUUACCAAGGCUUGACAUAUACCGGAUCGUUCCAGAGAUGGUUCUUCCCCUUUGGGGUCGGUAUACAGGUGGUGCAUGGUUGUCGUCAGCUCGUGUCGUGAGAUGUUGGGUUAAGUCCCGCAACGAGCGCAACCCUCGUUCCAUGUUGCCAGCACGUGAUGGUGGGGACUCAUGGGAGACUGCCGGGGUCAACUCGGAGGAAGGUGGGGAUGACGUCAAAUCAUCAUGCCCCUUAUGUCUUGGGCUUCACGCAUGCUACAAUGGCCGGUACAAAGGGUUGCGAUACUGUGAGGUGGAGCUAAUCCCAAAAAGCCGGUCUCAGUUCGGAUUGAGGUCUGCAAC